rnacentral:rRNA from 1 species
CAGUCGCCGCGGUAAUACAGAGGGUGCGAGCGUUAAUCGGAUUUACUGGGCGUAAAGCGUGCGUAGGCGGCUAAUUGAGUCGGAUGUGAAAUCCCCGAGCUUAACUUGGGAAUUGCAUUCGAUACUGGUUAGCUAGAGUGUGGGAGAGGAUGGUAGAAUUCCGGGUGUAGCGGUGAAAUGCGUAGAGAUCUGGAGGAAUACCGAUGGCGAAGGCAGCCAUCUGGCCUAACACUGACGCUGAGGUACGAAAGCAUGGGGAGCAAACAGGAUUAGAUACCCCCGUAGUCCCUGUCUCUUAUAC